rnacentral:rRNA from 1 species
GUCCAGCAGCCGCGGUAAUACGGAGGGGGUUAGCGUUGUUCGGAAUUACUGGGCGUAAAGCGCGCGUAGGCGGAUUGGAAAGUUGGGGGUGAAAUCCCGGGGCUCAACCCCGGAACUGCCUCCAAAACUGCCAGUCUAGAGUUCGAGAGAGGUGAGUGGAAUUCCAAGUGUAGAGGUGAAAUUCGUAGAUAUUUGGAGGAACACCAAUUGCGAAGGCGGCUCACUGGCUCGAUACUGACGCUGAGGUACGAAAGUGUGGGGAGCAAACAGGAUUAGAUA